CCUGUGUAGGGAUGUGGGCCACAAAGGCAGCUGACAAGGCUUGCGCCUGGGUCGAGUGCACCCUCACAAUGGGCAGUGGGCGCACACCGCCAGCUCAUAACAGGAGCGGAUGCACCAAGUUAUCCAGUUGGAAAGCCUCUGAGUGGAAAUUGGCUGGUCUCUCGCGUGCUCAGCCAAGGCCCAAGGCGGUGCACGUGGACAGGAGAAGUGCCACACAAUCCCUCAUCUGCGAUCGGGAGGUGCCCUUGACCAGCCAGUCGUCCAUAUAGGGGAAUAGCUGGACCCCACCCCCGCGCCUGAGCAGAGCCUUCCCAUCGAAAGGGAGAUCCUGCAUUGACAAUAGUGCUUUGCUGGAUAGCCCAGAGAGCAGGAGCCAGGAUGCCCGUCUCAUGGACACCGCCGAGGCCAUGGACCGUGCGGCCGUGUCCGCUGCAUCCAAAGUGACCUGCAGGGAUGCUCUCGCGGCCGCUGCCUCUUCCUCCACAAGCGCCUUAAACUCCUUUCUGUCGUGCUCUCGGAGGGAGUCCUCAAACUUGGGGAGGGACCCCUAGA